ACCCCCCUAAGUGGGAGAGUUGCCACCGGAUCCCAUAAGAACUCCGGAGUUAAGCGUGCUCAGGUGGGAGCAGUCACCGGAUGGGUGACCUCCCUUGGAAGUCCCAAGGUACGUGUGC
rnacentral:rRNA from 1 species